UACGAAGGGGGCUAGCGUUGCUCGGAAUCACUGGGCGUAAAGGGUGCGUAGGCGGGUCUUUAAGUCAGGGGUGAAAUCCUGGAGCUCAACUCCAGAACUGCCUUUGAUACUGAAGAUCUUGAGUUCGGGAGAGGUGAGUGGACUGCGAGUGUAGAGGUGAAAUUCGUAGAUAUUCGCCAAGAACACCAGUGGCGAAGGCGGCUCACUGGCCCGAUACUGACGUUGAGGCGCGAAAGCGUGGGGAGCAAACAGG
rnacentral:rRNA from 1 species